rnacentral:rRNA from 1 species
UACGGAGGGUGCAAGCGUUGCUCGGAAUUAUUGGGCGUAAAGGGCAGGUAGGUGGUCUUAUUUGUCUUGUGUGAAAGCCUUGGGCUUAACCCAAGAAGUGCGCAAGAAACGGUAAGACUAGAGUCCCAGAGAGGCUUGUGGAAUUCCCGGUGUAGCGGUGAAAUGCGUAGAUAUCGAGAGGAACACCUGCGGCGAAGGCGGGUUGCUGGGCUGACACGUGACGCUGGAGGCGCGAAAGCUAGGGAGCGAACGGG